rnacentral:rRNA from 1 species
GACGAACGCUGGCGGCGUGCUUAACACAUGCAAGUCGAACGGUGAAGGGAUCAGCUUGCUGGUCCUGGAUGAGUGGCGAACGGGUGAGUAACACGUGAGUAACCUGCCCCCUUCUUCUGGAUAACCGCAUGAAAGUGUGGCUAAUACGGGAUAUUCUGCGCCUGCUGCAUGGUGGGUGUGGGAAAGAUAUUGUUUCGGUGGGGGAUGGGCUCGCGGCCUAUCAGCUUGUUGGUGGGGUGAUGGCCUACCAAGGCGGUGACGGGUAGCCGGCCUGAGAGGGUGGACGGUCACACUGGGACUGAGACACGGCCCAGACUCCUACGGGAGGCAGCAGUGGGGAAUAUUGCACACUGGGCGCAAGCCUGAUGCAGCGACGCCGCGUGAGGGAUGGAGGCCUUCGGGUUGUGAACCUCUUUCGCCAGUGAAGCAGGCCUGUCCCUUGUGGGUGGGUUGACGGUAGCUGGAUAAGAAGCGCCGGCUAACUACGUG